rnacentral:rRNA from 2 species
UUAACCGGGACCUUCUUCGGACAGAGGAGACAGGUGGUGCAUGGUUGUCGUCAGCUCGUGUCGUGAGAUGUUGGGUUAAGUCCCGCACGAGCGCAACCCUUGUCUUUAGUUGCCAUCAUUCAGUUGGGCACUCUAGAGAGACUGCCGAGGACAACUCGGAGGAAGGUGGGGAUGACGUCAAAUCAUCAUGCCCCUUAUGUCCUGGGCUACACACGUGCUACAAUGGCUGGUACAAAGAGACGCAAGACCGCGAGGUGGAGCAAAUCUCAAAAACCAGUCCCAGUUCGGAUUGUAGGCUGCAACUCGCCUGCAUGAAGUCGGAGUUGCUAGUAAUCGCAGAUCAGAAUGCUGCGGUGAAUGCGUUCCCGGGUCUU